rnacentral:lncRNA from 1 species
AGUUGCAGAGACACUGUGCAUUUAUGGCUGUUGUUGCAGAAUGUAGAAGUGUGAGAUCUGUUAAAAGGGAGCCAGCAAGGAGUGGACUUCUCCAUAGAUAUAUAAAUAUAGAAUAAAUUAUUCUCAGCAGCUUAUUUGGAGUCCAAAGCAUACAUGUAAAGAAUCAAAAGGUUAUUACUAAAAUAGGAUACAAGGAGCUUUUUAGAGAGCGUUUAUAGGAAAUUGAACAUGUUCACGCAUUGCUAUCUUUUAUUAGCCGUAUCAGCACUCUUCUUUAAUUUAUCUUUCAAGGAAAUGUAAUUAUUUGGCCUAUAUCUUAUAGUAUCUAAACAGUUUGAAGCUAAUGUCAGUCUCUUUAAAUGCAGUGAAACACCUUCAACCUGGAGGAAUACAGCUUCUCUCAAGCUACUUUGGAGCAGGUGCGUUCUUUGAACAAGAGAGCAUCAUCCAGAUAACCUCUGUAUGAAACCAUCUUUCAGCAACACCUUGACAUUUUUGUAUCUUUUUUAUUUUCUCUUACUUAGGUAUUCUUAGAACUCUGUAAAGAGCAGGAGCUGGGAAAUAUUGAUGACAAAAUUGAUGCAGCAGUUCGACGGAAACUUCUCCCAUAGGAAGACCCUUAAAAUGAAGAACCUCCUAACAUUCCAUUUUAGGUCGUACUACAUUGUUAGCUUCCAUAAUUCUACAAGAAUGCUUCCUUUUACUUCAGUUAACAAAAGAAAACAUUCAAUAGUCCCAGGGGGAGUCACACAGAAAGAAAAAUGUCUUACCAAGAACCUUGGCUACUCAGCCAAAACCAUCUCCAGGCUGUGGUAGUAAUUGAAGUGAAGAGGACCUUUGUUUCUGAGGAAUCCUGUAUCUCUUACAGAGGGAAAUGAAAGAGAAGAAAAAAAAGAGGUUAGCUUGUCAGAAAAAACAAAAGGAAAAAGAAGAAACGAAAAGUAUCACUGACCUAAUCAAUUGCCAACAGAGUCCAACCACCAUGCUGAUGAAUCUAGACUUCUUUGAGUCACAAAUGGGAAAAAAGCUAUUGGCCAGAUGAGAAAAAUAGACUACAGAAUAAUUGAAUCCAAGUGCAAUAAUCAGCAAAGUUCUCCAAAGAAACACACAUAAUUAUUAAAAAAGGAGAAGAUCUUAAAAAUACUACUACUUAGAAUUUUGUAUGAGUCACAUUUGGAAGAGGUA